AUUGAACGCUGGCGGCAUGCCUUACACAUGCAAGUCGAACGGCAGCGGACCUUCGGGUGCCGGCGAGUGGCGAACGGGUGAGUAAUGCAUCGGAACGUACCUUUCAGUGGGGGAUAACGUAGCGAAAGUUACGCUAAUACCGCAUAUUCUGUGAGCAGGAAAGCAGGGGAUCGCAAGACCUUGCGCUGAUCGAGCGGCCGAUGUCAGAUUAGCUAGUUGGUGAGGCAAAGGCUCACCAAGGCGACGAUCUGUAGCGGGUCUGAGAGGAUGAUCCGCCACACUGGAACUGAGACACGGUCCAGACUCCUACGGGAGGCAGCAGUGGGGAAUUUUGGACAAUGGGGGCAACCCUGAUCCAGCCAUGCCGCGUGAGUGAAGAAGGCCUUCGGGUUGUAAAGCUCUUUCGGUCGGGAAGAAAUCGCAUGGGUUAAUACCCUGUGCGGAUGACGGUACCGGCAUAAGAAGCACCGGCUAACUACGUGCCAGCAGCCGCCGUAACAC
rnacentral:rRNA from 1 species